CAGCAGCCGCGGUAAUACAGAGGGUGCGAGCGUUAAUCGGAUUUACUGGGCGUAAAGCGUGCGUAGGCGGCUUCUUAAGUCGGAUGUGAAAUCUUUGAGCUUAACUUAGGAAUUGCAUUCGAUACUGGGAAGCUAGAGUAUGGGAGAGGAUGGUAGAAUUCCAGGUGUAGCGGUGAAAUGCGUAGAGAUCUGGAGGAAUACCGAUGGCGAAGGCAGCCAUCUGGCCUAAUACUGACGCUGAGGUACGAAAGCAUGGGGAGCAAACAGGAUUAGAUACCCCAGUAGUCCCUGUCUCUUAUAA
rnacentral:rRNA from 1 species